rnacentral:lncRNA from 10 species
CUGGAUGGUUGGAGGGGCAGGGACAGGAUCUCCGGAAGAUUACUAAGAGUUGGUCUGCAGCAGCAUUUGUAAUAGGCAGGACCCUAUUCAUCAAGUGGUGGUGAGGAAGGAUCCCUGGACCUGAGAGGUCUGACUUGGGUUCUGGUCUCAGCCAUCCACUUAUCAGUUGUGGAACCUUGGGAGGGCCGUGUAGCCAUCACCCGAGUGGCCAACCUUCUGCUGUGUAUGUAUGCCAAGGAGACCGUGGGCUUUGGAAUGCUCAAGGCCAAGGCCCAGGCUUUGGUGCAGUACCUGGAGGAGCCCCUCACCCAAGUGGCGGCAUCUUAACGGCAUUGGUGGAAGCUGGGGUCAGAAAAGAGAAAUGACCAUUUGGAGGGGCGGGGCCUCCUAGAAGAACCUUCUUAGACAAUGGGGGGAGGAUGGGACUUUGUUUUUUCCAAGAAUAAACUUCAACUCCUGUCA